UGUCCGGAUUUACUGGGCGUAAAGGGCGUGUAGCCGGGAAGGCAAGUCAGAUGUGAAAUCCACGGGCUUAACUCGUGAACUGCAUUUGAAACUGUUUUUCUUGAGUAUCGGAGAGGCAAUCGGAAUUCCUAGUGUAGCGGUGAAAUGCGUAGAUAUUAGGAGGAACACCAGUGGCGAAGGCGGAUCGCUGGACGACAACUGACGGUGAGGCGCGAAAGCGUGGGGAGCAAACAGGAUUAGAUACCCUGGUAGUCCACGCUGUAAACGAUGAAUACUAGGUGUGCGGGGACUGACCCCCUGCGUGCCGCAGUUAACACAAUAAGUAUUCCACCUGGGGAGUACGAUCGCAAGGUUGAAACUCAAAGGAAUUGACGGGGGCCCGCACAAGCGGUGGAUUAUGUGGUUUAA
rnacentral:rRNA from 1 species